rnacentral:rRNA from 1 species
CCGCGUGAGUGACGAAGGCCCUCGGGUCGUAAAACUCUGUUAUCAGGGAAGAACAAGUGCUAUUUAACUGAUGGCACCUUGACGGUACCUGACCAGAAAGCCACGGCUAACUACGUGCCAGCAGCCGCGGUAAUACGUAGGUGGCAAGCGUUGUCCGGAAUUAUUGGGCGUAAAGCGCGCGCAGGCGGCUUCUUAAGUCUGAUGUGAAAGCCCACGGCUCAACCGUGGAGGGUCAUUGGAAACUGGGAGGCUUGAGUGCAGAAGAGAAGAGCGGAAUUCCACGUGUAGCGGUGAAAUGCGUAGAGAUGUGGAGGAACACCAGUGGCGAAGGCGGCUCUUUGGUCUGUAACUGACGCUGAGGCGCGAAAGCGUGGGUAGCGAACAGGAUUAGAUACCCUGGUAGUCCACGCCGUAAACGAUGAGUGCUAAGUGUUAGGGGGUUUCCGCCCCUUAGUGCUGCAGCAAACGCAUUAAGCACUCCGCCUGGGGAGUACGGCCGCAAGGCUGAAACUCAAAGGAAUUGACGGGGGCCCGCACAAGCGGUGGAGCAUGUGGUUUAAUUCGAAGCAACGCGAAGAACCUUACCAGGUCUUGACAUCCCGCUGGCCGGUCUGGAGACAGGCCUUUCCCUUCGGGGACAGCGGUGACAGGUGGUGCAUGGUUGUCGUCAGCUCGUGUCGUGAGAUGUUG